CACGCUUUAUUGCUCGGGGCUCGGGAGCCGCGCGGGGUCGCCCCCACUCCCACAGGCGCCUCGGGAACAACCGCCCUGCGGGCAAGCGGCCCUGGCGUCGGAGCCCCGGGUCCAAAGCCCGGCGCCUGCACUCAGCAGCUGGAAAGAACACACCCGGAGGCCCCAGGAAGUAACCAUGGCGGCAAACAGUGCCCCAGGGUCCGUGGUGGCUCACAGCAGGAGGUGUGCAAGGGCCACCAAGGGCCAUGGAAAAAGCAUCCCAGCCUGGAGGUUAGGAGACCGGGGACUGAGGCCCAGCUUUAACCUGAAUUCGCCGUGUCACCUUAGACCAGUCUGGUUCUGGAACUCCUAGAGCUAAAAACGUGUGGUGAGGAAGGGCAAACGGAAUGACAAUGCACCCAGGGAACGCAGCAGUCUCCAGAGCACUGAGAGCCACUGUGAUCUACUGCUUUGGGAAAGUGGUGGGGCAGCUUCAUUUUCUGGGCCAUGACCACCACCCUGCUGCCUCUAAAGGAAGUUGUACUUUCCUCUGUAAUUCCUACCUACUGAAGUACGACUCAGAGCGUGCAGAAGCUAUCCAGGCUGAUAUGAAAAGAGUCCCAAUGCGAAGGCAUCUGCUUAGCAGAUAAAUGUUUCAAUAUGCUGCACUGGAGCGCAACAACACUACAGAGCCACUGCAACGGAAGGAGAGGAGAGGAGAGGAGGGUGAGAGGCCUGGGAGGCGCUGAUUCUUCCCGCCACAGCGGCCAGGGCCACAGCAGAGCUGACAAGCACUGUUUCCGAGGUCCCGUGACUGGAGCACACGGCGAUUAGGAGGGUGCUUCUUAUGGAUUCGGUUCAGGAAGUCCACUUUGACAACAUGCUGUGAAAUGGUGUCCUGGAAACGAUCGAACACCUGGCACCGAUUGCUCAGUGUCAUAUUCUUCUGGUUCAGCUGGGGACAAAGCAAACACACCUGUGAUCACAGAGGAAAGCCUACAAAUGUGCUUGUGCUGCCACAGACAUUUCCAGCUGAACUCAAGCUUGCUAGUAAUUCUGAGAGGCUGGCCUGGAGGUUCAAAAGAGAGCACAUUAAUGGAUCUGGAGUUAUUUCCACCCCAACUGUUACCAAUCAAACUGCAGCAAUUAAAAAUCUUUCUUAAACUAGGAGCCUCCGAGUAUGAGAAGUGUGCAGACUCAGAAAUUUUUUAUUAUGGCUGUUGAGUACUGUGUGGACAUUCUGCCUACAAGCAAGAGCGGCAAACGCCGGGCAGCGGGGCCUGCACCAGAGCAGCGCGGGCGGCCAAGGGCUCCGCGCACCCACCCGGAGGAGAGCCCGGCCGGGCAGGAGCCCCGAGAGCGGCGGGCGCGCGGGCAGGCAAGCGGCUCUGGGCCCGGAGCUCCUCCCCUUCCUCCCCCGCCACCGCUGGCCGUGCCCGGCCGGCUCGGUCCCAGCUCCCCUGCGACUUCCAAUCCCAGAUGGGGCUCUCCUCAUUCCUCCCAACCCCCACCUCGGGGUCCGGGCUCGACGCUGCUCCUCCCCGCCGCUCCCCCCCCCCCCCGCCCCGAAACGGCCAGAUCCCGGCAGACACCUGGGGGCGGGGAGGCGCUCGCCCCAGCGGCUGCAGAGAGUCAGCUAGCGGCUGCAGGCGCCCGUUAUUUCGGCAGGCAGGGGCAGGCCAGGUGAAGGAAUGUGCGGAGAGCGGUCCGCCGAGGGGCUCGAGAGGAGGCCAGCCCUUACCAGCACUGGAGGUGGAAGGCGGCCGGGCAGUGGUCGCAACACAGGAGAUCUCCACCUUCCUUGCAGCUAUCGCAGCUGUCGUGGUUGGUGGCCCUGCCGCUUCUCCGCGGCUCCUUCUCAGGCUUCCGACUCCGCUUUUCCGCCUCGUCCGUCUUGGGGGGAGCCAGCAGAGCUUGGAUUUGCUGCACACACAUACAAACGGCGUGUGUGCACACUCGGAGCUCCCGGGCGGCCCGUCGACCCCCCGGCGCGGCUACUCCGUCACCCACCCCUCUCCCCCCUUUUGUCCUUCUUCCUCCCAUCCAGGCUGCUCCCAGAACCGCUCAGCCCCCGGAACCAGGGGGAGCCCACCCCAACCGCGUUUCUGCAGCACAACAACGAGCGCAGCUUCUUCCAAAUGGGGAGGAUCAGGGUAGGGGGAUGGGGAGAGGGUGCGCGGUUCCCUUCUCGCCACUUCCUUGUAUGGACAGUGGGGGACUCCAAAGCCUGGCUCGGGAGAGGCCCGAAGCCCGGUACCCGGACGUGCGGGAGGAAGCACAAAGGGGCCGACAAGAAGGGGGUGGGGAGGCCCGCCGGUGCAACGCGAUGGAGUGGGCUGGCGCCUCUGGAAAGCGAAUCGAGGGCGGCGGAUACACGUGUCUUGUUUAAUCUUCACAACACGGCUGAUGGAAAAUAUCUGUCAUCAGUCAAUAAGCAGCGGCUAUGCCAAGGCUUUAGAGAGGCGCCGGCCUGCUGUCUGGAUCCUUCCCCGCUGGGGAUGCCCAGCCUCGGGGGCCCCUGCUCUGACUGGCAGCAGCGUCGUGGGACAGUCUGUUGACCACCACGUGCGUCACCAGGCCAGUCUGAGGGACAAGGCUGAUCACCUUCAUUUUACAAGGGAGGAAGCUUGGCUCAGCGACCGACAGCAGGCGCCAGGUGCUGACAGGUGAGAUGAGCCUGGGAAGGAGAGGGGAUUAUUGUCCGAGACGAACACGCAGUCCUGGGAAGUGUGGCUUCUGUGCGCAGACUUCAAACAAUGACCUCCUAGACAAGGUCUUAGGUCCCAUCCUUUCCUCCCCAGGCCCCUGACUGCAGCAGGUAGCCUCGAGGAGAAUCUGGAGAACCAAAGGGAGAUGAAAAGUACUUUGAAAAAGUACGAGAAUGGGCUCAACCAAGCCAUGGCUGUUGCUAUAGAUUAUUAGAAAGUUAUUCCUGGCUGGCAGCCUGGUUUAUUUUAGACCCCACCUCAUUUCCUCCAGGUUAUAGGCCCCAAUUCCUCGCCUGGUGAGACAGAAAGAGCCUGGCACCAUUGGAGUGAACCCUGAGCAGAUUCGGAAACUGGAACGGCAGCUCAAGGAAUUGUACAGAUUCUCAAAAUACCAGGGCUCGCCGUCCUUUGGAGGUCUUCUCCACCAGCCCCCUCAUUUUAUUUUACUGCCAUAUUAAAUUUUUAAAAAAUUUUAUUCAUUUUUGGAAUAUGUAAUACGUGCCCAAGGUGCAAAAUUCCAGGGCAUCAAAGAGUAUACUGUGAUAGUCUCUCCCAUUCCUCAGAGCAGCCAGCGCCAUCCAUUGCUUGUCUUUCACUGUAUUUAAAAAUAGAAUUGUUUCCUUUUUCUGUUCAUGUAGAAAAUACAAUAAUUCCUGCAGGAGAAAAUAAAAAAAUCAUAAGCAAUCCAGCUUCUAGAGCUGAAUACUCACAUUUUGGUGUAUAAUCAGCCAGCCUUUUCUCUUUGCAUAGACACAUGCAUCUAUAUUUACAAACUCGCAUAACCUGUUUUUGCUACUUGUUUACAUUAAAUAUGAUCUUUGAAAACAAGGAUUGGAGAGGAUCCAUGCUGAACUGAUGGCAGUGGGCACCUUAGGGGCAGUAAUGGGAGUGGGUUAGGAAGGGGAUUUGACUUUCUCUUUGCUGUUUGAAAUUGCUUUUGUAGGCCAGUGCCGCGGCUCACUAGGCUAAUCCUCCGCCUGCGGCACCAGCACCCCAGGUUCUAGUCCCGGUUGGGGCGCCGGAUUCUGUCCCGGUUGCUCCUCUUCCAGUCCAGCUCUCUGCUGUGUCUGCCCAGCUCUCUGCUGUGGCCCCAGGAAGGCAGUGGAGGAUGGGCCAAGCACCCACAUGGGAGACCAGGAGGAAGCACCUGGCUCCUGGCUUUGGAUUGCCGUAGCGGCCAUUUGGGGGGUGAACC